GCCGGCUUAGCUCAGUUGGUAGAGCAAUGGUUUUGUAACCCAUAGGUCGUCAGUUCGACUCUGACAGCCGGCU
rfam:Candidatus Kaiserbacteria bacterium RIFCSPHIGHO2_02_FTLL_50_50 rifcsphigho2_02_scaffold_2416, whole genome shotgun sequence.